rnacentral:rRNA from 1 species
GACGAACGCUGGCGGCGUGCUUAACACAUGCAAGUCGAACGGUAAGGUCCUUCGGGGUACACGAGUGGCGAACGGGUGAGUAACACGUGGGUGAUCUGCCCUGCACUUCGGGAUAAGCCUGGGAAACUGGGUCUAAUACCGGAUAGGACCACUGCCUGCAUGGGUGGUGGUGGAAAGCUUUUGCGGUGUGGGAUGGGCCCGCGGCCUAUCAGCUUGUUGGUGGGGUGAUGGCCUACCAAGGCGACGACGGGUAGCCGGCCUGAGGGGGUGACCGGCCACACUGGGACUGAGAUACGGCCCAGACUCCGACGGGAGGCAGCAGUGGGGCAUAUUGCACAAUGGGCGCAAGCCUGAUGCAGCGACGCCGCGUGCGGGAUGACGGCCUUCGGGUUGUAAACCUCUUUCAGCACCGACGAAGCGCAAGUGACGGUAGGUGCAGAAGAAGGACCGGCCAACUACGUGCCAGCCGCCGCAGUAA